UAUGUAAUCUGCCCAUCACAGGAGGAUAGCCCGGAGAAAUUCGGAUUAAUACUCCAUAAUAAAUUGAGUGGCAUCACUUGAUUUUGAAAGUUCCGACGGUGAUGGAUGAACAUGCGACUGAUUAGUUAGUUGGUGAGGUAACGGCUCACCAAGACCACGAUCAGUAGGGGUACUGAGAGGUUAAACCCCCACACUGGUACUGAGACACGGACCAGACUCCUACGGGAGGCAGCAGUAAGGAAUAUUGGACAAUGGCCGCAAGGCUGAUCCAGCCAUGCCGCGUGCAGGAAGACGGACCUAUGGUUUGUAGACUGCUUUUGAACUAGAGAAAACCCCUUUACGUGUAAAGGGCUGAUAGUAUAGUUAGAAUAAGCAUCGGCUAACUUCGUGCCAGCAGCCGCGGUAAGACGAAGGAUGCAAGCGUUAUCCGGAUUCAUUGGGUUUAAAGGGAGCGUAGGCGGACUUGUAAGUCAGUGGUGAAAUCUUUGGGCUUAACCCAGAAACUGCCAUUGAUACUGCAGGUCUAGAGUACAGUUGCCGUUGGCGGAAUAUGACAUGUAGUGGUGAAAUACUUAGAUAUGUCAUAGAACACCGAUUGCGAAGGCAGCUAACGAAGCUGUAACUGACGCUGAGGCUCGAAAGUGCGGGGAUCAAACAGGAUUAGAUACCCUGGUAGUCCGCACUGUAAACGAUGAUUACUCGUUGCUGGGAGGUAACUUUCAGUGACCAAGCGAAAGCGAUAAGUAAUCCACCUGGGGAGUACGCCGGCAACGGUGAAACUCAAAGGAAUUGACGGGGGCCCGCACAAGCGGAGGAGCAUGUGGUUUAAUUCGAUGAUACGCGAGGAACCUUACCAGGGCUUGAAAGUUAGUGAC
rnacentral:rRNA from 1 species